AUUGAACGCUGGCGGCAGGCCUAACACAUGCAAGUCGAACGGUAACAGGAAGCAGCUUGCUGCUUUGCUGACGAGUGGCGGACGGGUGAGUAAUGUCUGGGAAACUGCCUGAUGGAGGGGGAUAACUACUGGAAACGGUAGCUAAUACCGCAUAACGUCGCAAGACCAAAGAGGGGGACCUUCGGGCCUCUUGCCAUCGGAUGUGCCCAGAUGGGAUUAGCUAGUAGGUGGGGUAACGGCUCACCUAGGCGACGAUCCCUAGCUGGUCUGAGAGGAUGACCAGCCACACUGGAACUGAGACACGGUCCAGACUCCUACGGGAGGCAGCAGUGGGGAAUAUUGCACAAUGGGCGCAAGCCUGAUGCAGCCAUGCCGCGUGUAUGAAGAAGGCCUUCGGGUUGUAAAGUACUUUCAGCGGGGAGGAAGGGAGUAAAGUUAAUACCUUUGCUCAUUGACGUUACCCGCAGAAGAAGCACCGGCUUACUCCGUG
rnacentral:rRNA from 1 species